UCGGGAAAGAACGCCCUUGUGCACCGCAGCGCCCCUAGCGGACUUCAUGCAAACCAAAGCUACGGACGAGAGAGAAAGAGAGCGCGCGUCGGGAAAGAACGCCCUUGUGCACCGCAGCGCCCCUAGCGGACUUCAUGCAAACCAAAGGUAUGGACGAGAGAGAAAGAGAGCGCGCGUCGGGAAAGAACGCCCUUGUGCACCGCAGCGCCCCUAGCGGACUUCAUGCAAACCAAAGGUAUGGACGAGAGAGAAAGAGAGCGCGCGUCGGGAAAGAACGCCCUUGUGCACCGCAGCGCCCCUAGCGGACUUCAUGCAAACCAAAGGUAUGGACGAGAGAGAAAGAGAGCGCGCGUCGGGAAAGAACGCCCUUGUGCACCGCAGCGCCCCUAGCGGACUUCAUGCAAACCAAAGGUAUGGACGAGAGAGAAAGAGAGCGCGCGUCGGGAAAGA